GAAGUUGGAGUCGCUAGUAAUCGCAGAUCAGCAACGCUGCGGUGAAUACGUUCCCGGGCCUUGUACACACCGCCCGUCACGUCAUGAAAGUCGGUAACACCCGAAGCCGGAGGCCUAACCCCUUGUGGGAGGGAGCCGUCGAAGGUGGGAUCGGCGAUUGGGACGAAGUCGUAACAAGGUAGCCGUACCGGAAGGUGCGGCUGGAUCACCUCCUUU
rnacentral:rRNA from 2 species